rnacentral:lncRNA from 1 species
UUCCUCGUCACUUCCUCCCAAAUGGACCUCCAAUAAUUCUGCUAGAAAUAUAAUUUCUCAAACAAACUAUUAAAUAGUGUUCACUGACACGGGGUGUGUGGGAUGUGACUAGUUUGAAGCUUUUUUGGACCAAAAUUAUCCUUCUUCUUCUUUUCUCUCUCUUAUUAUUUUUUUCCAAUAACAUCUAUUAAUUAUUGAUUAAAAAUAAAUUGAUAAUUUUUUUUUAAAUUUUUUUACUUUCACCUUCUUACUUUAUAUAUAAAUUUUUUAAACACAUAAGAAUAUAUUUAUUAAAUUUCUUUUAACACCACCUCUUCUUCUGAAUUUUUUAAAAAUUUUAAAUACAUUUUUUAGUAGUUUGAUUUGUCAUAAAAAUACAUAAGAAAAAUAAUAACUUUUAACAUAACAAUACAAUAAUAAAUUCAACAUUAUAUAAGAACAUAAUUUCUAAUCAAUAUUUCCUCCAAACUAUCCUCCGAGGGCACUUGGUCCCCCACCUAUUAUGUCUGAUCACAAAAUUUAUUCGUACUAUAUAACUUGUUGAUUUAAUAUUUUGAUUUUGAUGAUAACAAAAUAUUGCGUUGGUAGCUAAUUUAUUUACUAAGUGUGCAGAUAAUGAGCGAUUAAGUUACAAAGCUCAAACUGACCAAAUAGACUGCAAACACUUUCUAUCAGAAAUUGUUGAUACCUAUUUCAUGAGUGUCGACACCUUUAGAUUUGGAGGCUAUAUUGAUAAAUCUGAUAAAAGUCUAAUCUAAAUUACAAAUCUCUCCGGAAUGAAAUUAAUGAAAAUCAUACACAUCCAUGAGAAGACAUCUCGAAGAGCGUAAAGUGAACAAUGCUCAAAUGGCCAAGAAAAUCAGAGAAAUACAUUCUGGCGAGAAGUGUUGACACUUGAAGAUAAUAGCAAAAGACUUGAAUCUGAAAAUGAAGUGUCGACACCUAAGAUCAGUAACAAAGUUUCAUGAAGACAGACAAGAAUUAUUGAUACCUGACAUCAGUAGCAAAACUUCAUGAAAACAGACAAGAAGUGUCGACACCUAGAACCAAACAAGUGAAUGUAGAAGAGUGUUUACGUAAUUAUACUCCGGAUAAAGCACAUUGUAUAAUUUUAUAUUUUUUUGAAUCUCUUUAAUCAGGUCCAUCCGUACCUGUGCCCAAUCGUUUUCAUCAUACCCUACUUAUGCAACUAUCGCCCUGAAUCCACAAUAACCAUUAGCUUAGAUGUCAAUAGUGUAACUAAUGAAAUAUUGAUAACCCUAGGUAAUUCUUGAAUAAAGGGAUUAAAGAUGGGUGGAGCUGGAGGUUAAUUUUUGACAAACUCUCGAGUUUGCAACCGAUAGAGUGACCGGUGUGUUGUAGUUGAGUUAGAUGCCCCUAGAUCCUAAAGUAUAUGACUCUAAAAUAGAAGGUAUGCGUCGUAUACUUUGCUCAUCUCUGCCUGCAGGUUGACAUUUGUAUUUCAUGUUAUAUGCCGAAGAUCAAACUGUACUAUGAGAUGGAAUUGCCAUAUCGAUAAUCCUAUUUAUCAUAUUAUCUUGCGUAAAUUGAUCAUUCCUUUUAACAGUUCAAUAAAUUGAUAAUAUAAUGAAACAAUAAUAGUAUGACGAAAUAAGAAAUAACAGAUGCUUGUUUGAUCAAUAGUAAAUUUAAGUGUAUAGUCACAACCUAUAUGGAAGAUGUUUUCUCCACUUGGAAUAUCACUCUCGACUGUCUAACUAUUUGAAAUUGAGUCAGCCAUAGUGCUCUAACUAUGGAUUUCGAAAAAAAAUAUGGAUCAAAUCUUGAUAUAAAUUAAAAGAGUGAUAGUAUGAAUAAAAUGAGAACUCUAAAAAAUAUUCUUCAUAUAUAUAUAUAUAUAUAUAUAUAUAAGUUGCCCCUAGUAUAGUUAGUCUUAUCUUGUUCCCCCUAUAGAUGUCAAUUGCCUCCUAAUUUUGUCAUAAAAAAAUAUUAUAAAUUUUGAUUCAUAUUAUAAAAAAAAAUUCUUUUAGAAAAAAUAAACAAAAGAUUAGAAACAUAUAAUAAAAAAAUAUUUUUCAAAAAAAACAGAUAAAGAAAAAAAAAAUUUAAUAAAAAAAUAUUAAAAAAAUUGAAAAAAAACAACAACAAAACUAAAAAAAUUUUUUUAAAAAGGGGGCGAUUGGGAGGGGAUUCGGGCGAGGGGGCGGGGAAGGGGUGCUGGGAGAAAAAAAAGGGGACGGGGUAAUUGGGUAAUUGGGGAAAGGAUUUGGGGGUGGGGCCCGGCGUUUUCGUGGGAGGAUCAGCUCUCUUAUUUUCUAAGGACCUCCAAUAAUUUUAGGGUAAAUUACAAUCACCUCCACUAAGGUUUUUCUUUAAUACAGAUGUUCCCUGAUGUUUGAAAAAUUAUACCGACUUUUCUUACUUUUUAAAACUUGUAACACAACCACUUGCAUUUGUCGCUCAUCUCUCUCUCUCUCUCUUUCUCAAGUUGUGAUGAUUUUAAUAUUUUAUCAUCAACCCUGAUAUGCUAUGUUUGGUA